ACGACUCUCGGCAACGGAUAUCUCGGCUCUCGCAUCGAUGAAGAACGUAGCGAAAUGCGAUACUUGGUGUGAAUUGCAGAAUCCCGUGAACCAUCGAGUCUUUGAACGCAAGUUGCGCCCCAAGCCUUCAGGCCGAGGGCACGUCUGCCUGGGUGUCACAAAUCGUCGUCCCCAUCCUCUGCGGAUAA
rnacentral:rRNA from 3 species